GAAAUGCGAUAAGUAAUGUGAAUUGCAGAAUUCAGUGAAUCAUCGAAUCUUUGAACGCACCUUGCGCUCCUUGGUAUUCCUUGGAGCAUGCCUGUUUGAGUAUCAUGAAAUCUUCAAAGUAAAUCUUUUGUUAACUCAAUUGGUUUCUACUUUGGUAUUGGAGGUCUUUGCAGCUUCACACCUGCUCCUCUUUGUUCAUUAGCUGGAUCUCAGUGUUAUGCUUGGUUCCACUCGGCGUGAUAAGUUAUCUAUCGCUGAGGACACUGUAAAAGGUGGCAAAGGUAAAUGCAGAUGAACCGCUUCUAAUAGUCCAUUGACUUGGACAAUACUUUUAUGAUCUGAUAUCAAAUCAGGUAGGACUACCCGCUGAACUUAAGC
rnacentral:misc_RNA from 1 species